UACAGAGGGUGCAAGCGUUAAUCGGAAUUACUGGGCGUAAAGCGUGCGCAGGCGGCUUUGCAAGUCAGAUGUGAAAUCCCCGGGCUCAACCUGGGAACUGCAUUUGUGACUGCAUGGCUGGAGUGCGGCAGAGGGGGAUGGAAUUCCGCGUGUAGCAGUGAAAUGCGUAGAUAUGCGGAGGAACACCGAUGGCGAAGGCAAUCCCCUGGGACUGCACUGACGCUCAUGCACGAAAGCGUGGGGAGCAAACAGG
rnacentral:rRNA from 1 species